rnacentral:rRNA from 1 species
GAAUUCGCCCUUAGAGUUUGAUCCUGGCUCAGGACGAACGCUGGCGGCGCGCCUAACACAUGCAAGUCGAACGAGCGAGAGGAGGUUUACUUUCUCAAGCGAGUGGCGAACGGGUGAGUAACGCGUGAGGAACCUGCCUCAAAGAGGGGGACAACAGUUGGAAACGACUGCUAAUACCGCAUAAGCCCACGACCCGGCAUCGGGUAGAGGGAAAAGGAGCAAUCCGCUUUGAGAUGGCCUCGCGUCCGAUUAGCUAGUUGGUGAGGUAAUGGCCCACCAAGGCGACGAUCGGUAGCCGGACUGAGAGGUUGAACGGCCACAUUGGGACUGAGACACGGCCCAGACUCCUACGGGAGGCAGCAGUGGGGAAUAUUGCACAAUGGGGGAAACCCUGAUGCAGCGACGCCGCGUGGAGGAAGAAGGUCUUCGGAUUGUAAACUCCUGUUGUUGAGGAAGAUAAUGACGGUACUCAACAAGGAAGUGACGGCUAACUACGUGCCAGCAGCCGCGGUAAAACGUAGGUCACAAGCGUUGUCCGGAAUUACUGGGUGUAAAGGGAGCGCAGGCGGGAAGACAAGUUGGAAGUGAAAUCCAUGGGCUCAACCCAUGAACUGCUUUCAAAACUGUUUUUCUUGAGUAGUGCAGAGGUAGGCGGAAUUCCCGGUGUAGCGGUGGAAUGCGUAGAUAUCGGGAGGAACACCAGUGGCGAAGGCGGCCUACUGGGCACCAACUGACGCUGAGGCUCGAAAGUGUGGGUAGCAAACAGGAUUAGAUACCCUGGUAGUCCACACUGUAAACGAUGAUUACUAGGUGUUGGAGGAUUGACCCCU